UUUCUCACCAGUGAAAAGUUUAUUUCAGAACGAGCAGUUUGCUUUGCAUUUCUCAGGGCAGGGAAGGUUGAGGUGUAAACACUGACGGAAUAAUUGUAGGCUGACAUCUCAUCUUUUCAUAAACUCAGCACGAAAAAUGUUGAUGUAGUUAACAUGGCUGCCCCAAACUUACAAUUUCUAAACCUGAGAAAAUGUCAUUGCUUUUGGAGCGACGCAGAAGCUUUGGCCACGAGCCUCUACUGACCUUGAGCCAGUGGGGACCACACACAUCACUCAUCCUGGCGUGAGUCCUCUGACCUCAGACCAGUGUAGAGAACAGUGAUGAGAGCUGAAAGCUCACUGGACACCAGAAUAUCUUCCCUAGGCUCGACCAACAGCGAUGCCCACGAUUAAUUUAAAGCAACAGUUCAGCUAGAAAUUACGUUUUUGUCAAUUUUACUUUACACUAAUCUACAGUAGGCCUACAUAAAAACGCUCUUUGUCCACACUAGCGUUUCCCAAAUGUUGCUCAUUCUAAAACAUAAACUUAAAUACUGCAUGUAUGUAAAACAUACAGAGAUUUUAAUCAGGCGUUUAAUUAUGUAAAAAGUAUUCUGAGCAAAGAUAAUUCAGUGGGCUAGUUGCACAAGAUGGCACAGGUGAGCUUUUGCAAUGCCAGAGUCCGCAGAGUCAUUUCUGAUCGUAUAACACUAUCUAGUUGUUUUGGCUUAAUGAAGUGCUCAGCAAUGGAAAGAGGAUCUGUCACAUCGCUUAUAUAUUACUUCUUUUUAAUCUAAAUUACAGCCAGCCAAAAUUCCUCCUUUUCCCAUACAGUGUUGUAGAACCGGAAAUUACUCUGCCGACUCUGGCUCACCAGCGCCAUCGUGUGCAGCUAGCGAAUGGAACGUUGUGACAAUGGUGUUCUCAAAAUAUGUUUUUAUACCCUAAAAUGAUAUGUUUUAAAUAAAAAUGCACAUUUAUAAUGUGGCACAUGAUGCAGAGUACAAAGGUUUUGAAUCUUUCCUUUGUUAGUCUCACGGUGCGGCCCGAAAGGGUUUUAUAACUAUUAUUACGAAUGCUAAAAGCUUUAACAAAGUAUUACAUAUUUAACUAAAAUGAAAAAUAGUUUGAAAUCUACUUCAUGAAGCAAACCUGAUUUUCUAAAAAGUAUUCUUAUUGUUAUUGUUAGCUCAUUGACAAAAUGUUAAAUGCUCAGUUGUAAGUUGCUAAAUAAAUAAAUGUAAAUGUUGUUUACUGUGACAUUCUGACAAAGCUAAAAUCUACACACGUGUCGUCCUGUGGUGCUUUCUCUUUGAUGGAAUUGCGUAGCGGGCAUGAGAAAUGUCAUUAGGAAACCAUUUCUCCUCGCUCUCGACGGCAGGAUUUAUGAUGUGCUAAGUGCAACGCUUACACGAGGGGUUGGAGACCUCGUCUUCACGACUCCCUGAAUCUCUCAACAAAAGAGAGUAAACAAGGGAUGUCUUUUGGAAUAUGUGACUUUUUUCCGGCGUGGCGGCCAGCACCAGUUUAGAUCUUCCAGUCCUGUUAGUGACACAUUUAAAUGAGCUGCGGUCUCCGUUUCUUCACACACGUGGUAGAUUCAUGGAGAUUCCUCUUUUCUUCUUUCCUCCUCGCCUGGCUUCCCCUCGGCCCGAUCGGGCUCAAGAGAACCACAUGCCAGGUUCACUCCUCUCCUCUCCCACCCAGCCAAACCAGAGCCAUAAUUGUGCUUUUGUUUCAGGCACUGCCCCAGUUAUAAAGAAGAGAGAAGCUUUGGAAAGGUCAACAGAAAAGAAGAAAUGGGUUCUGGACUGUAAAAUGUUCUGUCACCUUUUAUUCAGAUUCAGGUUGAAUCAAACCUGUAUGACUGUCACCGACAGACACAAAUGAGCUGUACAAUAAAAGUUGUCUAGAUAGGUCACUCGUGGGUAGGGUUGGGAAUCGAAAAUCAAUUCUAAUUCGGAAUCAGAAUCGAAAGGUUAGAAUCGGGUACUUGAAAUUCAAAUUUAAAUUCCUCUUAUUAGUUCCUGUGUGCAUAUUUUCAGAAAUGUGCAUGUGUUAAUUUGUGAUCUGCUGAUAUCUCAAUAAAAGCCCUUAUGAAAAUUAACCAUAUUUUUACUAUAGUAAGCAUAGUUUAACCCUAGUAUUUGCAGUAAAGCAUAGGAAUUUUGGUAAUACAAAUUGUAAUAAAUCCGACAAAACAUGGUUGUUAGGUGUAUACUGUAUAUACACAAAACGGUGCUCAUAAAUAUAUGAGUAUGUGUUAAAUGAAUAGGUUGAUAUCUACUGUAAAUGAUUUACUUCCACUGUGGAAUCCAAACUGGGAAUCGAUAAAAAUCACAAUCGAUAAGUGGAAUCAGAAUCGCAAAAAUUCAAAUGAUACCUGUGAGGAUUUGUAACGGAGAAUCAGAAUACUAAUACACUGAAGAAAGGUUUCCUUUAGCAGGGCCUCCUGGUUCAAACCACGGAUUGUAGACCACGCUGGAAAAGUCAACCAUGAGGACGGCCCCCGGUGGGACCAUGUUAACAGCGGAAUUGUGGGAAAUCUUCGGCAGUGCCAUCCUACCACGUCUUUGUCUUCAAUGCCGGAGGAAAAUGUCAUUGCUCAGAAGUUUGCUCUUUUAAAGCUCUUUAGAGUUUUUGGUUGUUUCAAUUAUAUUUCAACUUUUUCUCAGAUGUUUUUGUGCAAAGGACGAGUAAAAGUAGACACAAAUAAGAUGACUGUUGACAAAGACUAUAGACCUAUAAAGUAUAGCAAAACUCGUUGGGUCUUGGAAGUAUUUUAAAAAUGAGAAAAUAACCACAUUAUAUAGUUUUAUUAUUUUUGUGAAGUAUUUACUGGAUGAUUAAAAAUGUAUUUAGAGAAAUCCUGAUGUUUUCAUUCUGUCCACCGUGUUACUCUGGGACCAUUGGAAGUUGAUAAUGCGCAUGAGUUUGCACAGAAUCCCAACACUCGUUGGAAUGAAAAUAUCCACCCCAAACCACUGAUCUUAGAUCUGUCUAUGUUUUCCCAGUCUCUCGUGCUGUUCCCGUAACCCACUGGCUCCCGGCUCCAACAAAACCCUGUAACUGUGACUUCUGGAAGCUUGUGGCUAUUUCUGUUGUGAUGGACAACCUGACGGACAAUAAUCUGUCCAGAACUCGGCUCUCGGAGAGCAGAGUUCAUUCGUGCUGAGCGGAUUCCCAGCGGCUCUUGCCAGCAUCCGUCAUGAACGAGUUGAAAACAGUGACUCUGAUAUGUGAUCCAACGCAGCAGGGCUGGACUAAGACCCAAAAGUGGCCCUGGAAACUCCUGUUCCGGCCCACCGCCCAUCUGACCACCAGGAAAAUGCCCAGUAUGCCCGAUUACCAAUCCAGCCCUGUUCACAGGAUCAGAAGAACUUCUGCUGGGACUCUGAAAGCACAUCCACCUGUUUGCCUCGGUCAGCCAAGGUUACGCAAUGUGACAUAAUGAGGGAACGACAUCAAGACGGAAACCGCAUGGGAAGGUGUUCUUCCUUGGCCACCAUUAUGGAAUUCCUUGAGUGGAGUGUGGCAGCCCACAUGGGGGAAAGACUUGAGUUGCCGUGAUGGCCGGAAGGUUGCCAUGGUGGCAGGAAUCAGAGCGAUGACUGCGAGGCAGCCUCUAGGUAAACAGAAAGAGUGACUCAUGGCUAGACGCAUGGAUCUUUUCUGUAUGGAUCUUGUCCUUCAUGGGCACAUGACUUCUGCACCCUUUCCCAAUAGCUGCAGAUCUUACCCCUCUACAGACCAAACCAGACCUGACCACGGGCACUGCUCCACGCACAUGCACGUACUAAAAAAGGAAGCCUUAAGUUCUUUCUCAUCUGCCCAGGCAGACAUUAGACAUUAUUUGAGCGGAAUAAAUCGCCCGCCGCAGUCUUGGUUCCUCAUUCGGGAUAGUGGCAGGUUUUUAUUUUGACCAGCUGUCUUUGGCCCAGGCUUGGAUGUCUAGAAACCAUUUAUGGAAACAUCUUGGAAAUGUGAAAAAUCACCUAAUGCUAUAAAAAUGAUCAUCAUAAAAUUUUUAAGGAUAAAUUAUAAAAAGAGAUGAUGCAGGACAAGUCUGUGGCUUUAAGAUAGGUGAUGGCCACAUAUGUCAAGAUUAUUUUAUUCUUACUUUGUGUCAACAAUUAUUUAAAUUGUCUAUAUACCCUCAUUUUUUUAAGUUGUUAAAUAUAUCAUUGAGAUCUCCAUUAUGUCUAAGCUAUAAUCCUUCUAUUCGGGUGAUAGAUAUCUGAAAAAUUGUAAAAGCAAGAUCAAUCCUACAAUACAUUCUCAAAUGAUUUGAAAUGUGUUAUACCUAAACAAAAAUGUAUAUAGCACUUUUUUACUCAAAUCAACAAAAGUCAAGAUACUUUUUAUGUAUAUUUAUUAUUAUUAUUUGAAAACGAAUAAUAAUAUUUGACGUCUACUUUAACGUUAUACAGUCUCGGACUUUGUGAGAGUCGUCACGUGCUUGGCCUCAAUUGCGCUAUUACAGCGGCAGCGUGGUCGCACCUGUCAGUUUUCAUUAACCUGUUCGCUCGAACCAUAGAAGGAUUGCCGCAAACCUGCGAUCUGCCCAAUGCCUGACGACGAUUCCUGAGGCAUGUGAAUGUGUGAGUAUGUUUCUCAUUGUCCAUCUUGUGAUGUUCGUGUGGAGUGUAGGUUUUUUACGCCUUUAAUAAGCUGGAGAUAAUUAUCCGUUUCUUCUCCAUUGUGUGUUGAUACGAGUGCCUUUCAACUAGUUUUAAUGCGCUGCUAUGCGGUUGCUGAGGUGUUUUGAUUGGUUGCGUGUUGCUGUGACGUUUUAAUUUGUCUUUUGCGUGUUGCUAUGCGGUUGCUGAGGCGUUAUGAGUGAUUAGUAAUGGCAGUGGCAGUGCUAGGGCAUUCGGGUGGUCGAUAAAUUGCGUUGCUAUGCUGUUGCCAAGGCGUUAUGGUGGUAAACAAAUUUCCUUUAUUUGCUUGAGUGUUCUGAGUGCGGUUGCUUUGUGGUUUAAGUGUCUCGUGUCUGUAUCACAAAUGGUCACAUGACAAGACAGAGUUACAGGUUUGUUUAAAUCACAAACCGGACGUUUAUAAACUAGUAAGUGAUACUUGACACCACUAAUGAGCAAUAAUUGAAUGAUGGAAUGAAAAUGUGAAAUUUAUUUACAUAAUAAAUAAAGAUCCGGGUUGAUAAGAAGUUUGAGCAACAGGUGUUGAUGAGGCCAGAAACACUAGAUGUCAGUGUUGAGUCUCAGUCUCACCUUCAAAAAGCUCAUUUACACCUCAGCUCUGUUCUCAAAAAAUGAAUAUUGAUAAAACCUUUAGAAUCCAUUCUUUCAGUGAGUAAACCUAUGAUCUUAAGGUUACCAGCUUGUAUGUUUACUACAGUACACCAUACCUCCAUUCAUUUGUAGUUUCUGAUGGAUGAAUCUACUUUUUUGUGUUUAAUGGUUGGAGAACAGUCAAGGGGGCACAUGUUGUGUUUAAUGGAUGGAUGGAUAGAUAUAGUUUGUGUGUCUGUUUGAAAGAUUGAACACAGCGUAGGAGGUUCCUACAGAAUGCCUGGAAUCUAAUCUCUUGCAGGACUGGACAAUAUUAUUGGCUCGACCUUCCACUGUCUGUGUUUUACACAAAUACACACAAAGUUUAGGGGCAUUCAGUCAUGGACCUCUGGUGUUGUGGAACCCAAGCCUUAAAAUACUGUGUCCUCUAGUUUUUUCAUUUAAAUUCUAAUCAUUUAACUAUCAUUUGGUGGAACCGAAUAAAUGUGAUUAUCAUGACAUCACUUGUUAUUGUGAUACUUCUUCAGAUGGCGAAGUAAUGAAAUAUGUCAAAUCUUUUUUUUUAUGGUCACAUAUUAUACAAAUACACAGAGUGAAGGUGUGUUGACAAGUUUGUCAUCAAUGCCAAACAUAAUUGAUUUUGCAAGUCAUGUAAUCGAAAACACUGAACGAGGACAUAUUUUGGUAGGCCAACCUGAAAGUUAGCAUCACACUGGAUCCCUUGACAAAAACCAAUAAGAUUUUUCAAUAGUCUUUUGGAUUAUCACAAAAUAUAAGAUCUGUGUUCAAAAGUUUGCUCUGCGUGAGCAAAGCUUUAUAACUUGUUUUGUCCACCUUGACACAACUUUUUUUGAACGUUGCUCAUUUAUUCUUGGUGGUGUUUAAUGUUCCUGACAACAUAUGAAGAGUUUGGUUCCAAAAUGAGAA